AUUUUCUAGAGUUAUCCCUGGGGAAAGGCGGCAGAGUUGCAGAAGUGCUCACACAGGGAGAAGAAAACCCAAAGAUUUAUGAGGAACUUGGCUUAACGCAAAGAGUGGCCAGGGUUUAGCUGACCUAAAUUCAGGGAGGGAGGCUAACUGGACAACAUCAUCAGCUCCUUAUGAACAAGGGGAAACUCAUUGCUCAGUGUUUCUAAUCUGUUGUUCAAGAUCUGUGUUUUAAGUUACGUACAGUCAUAUUAGUACAGUAAUACUACAGUCUUAAAUGUUGUGUUUUAGACAGAUGGAUACAUGUUUCAAUUAGCUGUGAACAGAAAAUCAUCACAAUUAGCAGGAAUAAAUGCUACCACAUCAAUGGGCCUUUAAUUUUUCCUUUAAUUUAUUGAAUGUAGGUAUUUCUUGUACUUAGAUUGUAUGACCAGUCAAUUGGUUUGCUAAGUUCAGUUUUCUUAGUUUGACAUUUCGUGAGUUCAACAGUUCAUUUUUGUAUCCAUUAUUUUUGUGCUUUUCAGACACUGAGGAGGAGAGGUAAAUGAUUAUUCUCUGGGAGGAAAAACAAGACCUUACUGGUGAGAGUGAAUGAGGAAGUUCUGGAGGUGAACAAAUCCACAGAGUCUAAGAUUGACAGGAAAUGGUGUUUGGUGGCUCAGUAAUGAAAACGAAAUUUCGUUCUGUAUGCACUCUGUGCAUACAAAAUGACAAUAAAGAAAGUCUAAGUAAGUCUAAGUCUAAGUCGAAUGCAUCUUUGCAACGUCUCUGUCUGUUUCUUUCCAGAAGAAGGUGUGUAAUGGAGUAAAUGGUGGCGGAUGGACUGGCAUGAAAUAAGUAUCUCUGCGGUGAGAUCAGGAUCUCUGCUGGACAAUCCGAGGAACAGUGAGAAGAUGAAAAGCAGUGAUAUCAGAAGGAUUCAUCUUUUGGACCCAAGGUGUAAGGAGGCAGAGCACCCAGAGCGUGGGAACUUAGAUAUGAGCAUAAAACUGGUUCCUGGAGGAAGGGACGACAAACUUUGAUUCAAGUAGGACCAGAAAGACGAGAUAAAGCUGAGAAAAGUAGGUCCUAAUACCACAAUGAGAGAGCUAAUGAUCUGGCAUCUGCCUGACGGGGUUGUUCCUCUUUCUGCGCCUCCUGAUUGGUUCUGAUGAGCUGCAGCUGUGGGGACAGUCACACUCUGGAUAGAAGAGGUGGUAGAGACACACUCCAAACUGCACACAGCUCAGUGAAUAUGACACAGAAUGGGGAGAAUAAGAAUUUAAGUAACUUGUAAUGUGGAAUUGUUGUUGAUAUCAGACACCUUAUCUAAGUAUUUCAGAUAGUGCUGAUCUAUUGGGAUCUUCAUGCAUAACCAUGUUUUAAGUUUACAAAGAAUUGACCAAAAAAAAAAAAAAAA